GUAAUUUGUUUCCAGUGACAUGGAAUAAGGCUGUGUGCCGCGUUUAGCAGGUGAGGGAUGACUGAUUUUUUGUAACUGCGUAAUGGGAGUGUGGUGAGCCGGAGAAGGUAUGUUUCCGAUGCGAGUUGUAGGUUUGCGACUGAAAUGGAUGAAAGGACUCUAUGUACUGCCUCGCAGAAGGGUCUGACGAGAGGGUAUGUCCACCAUAUGUGGUAUAAUGAUCCUAGUUCCCUCCC